AGUCACAGGCCUCCCAAGUCAUCGAUUUUCUGUGUAUUUGAAGAACAUAUGAACGCAGGGGGGAAUUGAGUCAAUAAAGAUCCAGUCGAUAAAAAUGGAAUCUCAGCCAGCAUCUCCGGGAUUUGGAGCGUCACUGCAACUGAAGGACUGCAUAGAAGAGCUGCUGAGAUUCACACUUGUUUCCUCCAUUGACGGCACUCUUGAAAUUGACUUAGGUCUCUCCAAAGACUACUGCUCCACCCUCUUACAAGAAGAUCCUUCCGAUCCCUUUUUCAAUCCCACUGGUCUUUCUGAAGGAGUUCCUUCAUAUCCUUUAUACAAGCGCCUUGCAGCAUCCUUAUAUGAGGCUAUUUCUUCUGAAGCCUUGCCAAGGACAGAAAACAAACUUGCAGUAAUGCAAGAAACUAGUUCUAUGAAGCAAAUGGAAGAAGAGUGGGCUAGUUUAAUUAGGGAAAAAGGUUCACAUUUGCUCAAUGUGCUUAAAUCUGUGGACUUUGAACUCCAUGUUCAGGAGCCUUACUUCUCUCUACUUAGAAACGGACAGAAAACAGUUGAAGGAAGGUGUGCUGUUGGACACUAUAAUAAAAUUGAACCAGGUUCGUCCAUCCUCAUCAACAAAUGUUUAGUUCUUCAAGUUCAGGAUGUCCAUCAUUAUCAUUCAUUCCAUGAGAUGUUAGAAGCAGAAAGUCUUAAAGAAGUUCUUCCUGGAGUGGAUACCACUGAAGAAGGUGUCCAAGUUUACCGGAGAUUUUACUCAGAAGAGAAAGAAAGGUCAAAUGGUGUUCUUGCUAUCAGUGUUAAGAAGCUGGUUUCUCAGCCUUCCAUCGAUUUGAGCUCCAUGCUAUCUGAACUGAGCUAUGCUGGUGUUCAGAGGCUUUUAGGAUUUGUAUGUACAGCUGGAACAGUUUCUGAGGCACUUCCACCGCCAACAUCUUCUCUAAUCUCAUCAUUUCUAUUGCCACAUAAUCCAAAUACUAAAGGUUGUACAUUGACUGAUGGAGCGAGGGCAUUGUCAAAGCACGUUAACAGGAGCAGUGACAGAUACUGGGGUAGUUUUUCUGGAAGUGGUUAGUUCCUCACUCCAGAGCCCUUCAACAUAAACAUCCUUGAUUUGCAUAUUCUGAUAAAAAUAGGAAUGCCCUGGAUGUCAUCAGGAACUUAAUAACGCGUUCCUGCUGGAUGAAUGUGCAUAUUGUUCCACCACAUGGUGUUGUUUUUGAGAUAAGAGUUGUUAAUGGUUACGGUGCACGGUGGUCUAAAGAUGGAAGUAAGUUUAUUGGUUUCCUUGAGCCCUAUAUGGAGGAUGGCCAUUCAAAGGGAUGGAGGCACUGAAUAGCAGAAGAUACAAUAGGCGUUUGACCGUGAAAUUUUUU